rnacentral:rRNA from 1 species
GAUGAACGCUAGCGGCAGGCCUAACACAUGCAAGUCGAGGGGGAAGUUACUUUCGGGUGACUGAGACCGGCGUACGGGUGCGUAACGCGUAUACAAUCUGCCUUUCACUGGGGGAUAGCCCGAAGAAAUUUGGAUUAAUACCCCAUAGUAUAUAGGGACGGCAUCGUUUUUAUAUUAAAGCUUAGGUGGUGAAAGAUGAGUAUGCGUUCUAUUAGCUAGUUGGAGAGGUAACGGUUCCCCAAGGCGAUGAUAGAUAGGGGUUCUGAGAGGGAUGUCCCCCACACUGGUACUGAGAUACGGACCAGACUCCUACGGGAGGCAGCAGUGAGGUAUAUUGGACAAUGGUCGGUAGACUGAUCCAGCCAUGCCGCGUGCAGGAUGAAGGUCUUAUGGAUUGUAAACUGCUUUUGUAAGGGAAGAAUAAGGGCUACGCGUAGUUUGAUGACGGUACCUUACGAAUAAGCAUCGGCUAACUCCGUG